rnacentral:rRNA from 1 species
UAGGGAAUCUUCCGCAAUGGGCGAAAGCCUGACGGAGCAACGUCGCGUGAGUGAUGAAGGUCUUCGGAUCGUAAAACUCUGUUACUAGGGAAGAACAAAUGUGUAAGUAACUAUGCACGUCUUGACGGUACCUAAUCAGAAAGCCACGGCUAACUACGUGCCAGCAGCCGCGGUAAUACGUAGGUGGCAAGCGUUAUCCGGAAUUAUUGGGCGUAAAGCGCGCGUAGGCGGUUUUUUAAGUCUGAUGUGAAAGCCCACGGCUCAACCGUGGAGGGUCAUUGGAAACUGGAAAACUUGAGUGCAGAAGAGGAAAGUGGAAUUCCAUGUGUAGCGGUGAAAUACGCAGAGAUAUGGAGGAACACCAGUGGCGAAGGCGACUUUCUGGUCUGUAACUGACACUGAUGUGCGAAAGCGUGGGGAUCAAACAGG